CUGAAGGGGAGCUUCCCGGAGAACCUGAGACACCUUAAGAACACCAUGGAGACCAUAGACUGGAAGGUCUUUGAGAGCUGGAUGCACCAUUGGCUCCUGUUUGAAAUGAGCAGGCACUCCUUGGAGCAAAAGCCCACUGACGCUCCACCGAAAGGUACAGGGAUGCCAGGAAGAGGUCAGCCACAUCCCUGCUGUCCACCCGGGUUCAUUCAGGCCCAAGUGCGACGAGAACGGCAACUAUCUGCCACUCCAGUGCUAUGGGAGCAUCGGCUACUGCUGGUGUGUCUUCCCCAACGGCACGGAGGUCCCCAACACCAGAAGCCGCGGGCACCAUAACUGCAGUGAGUCACUGGAACUGGAGGACCCGUCUUCUGGGCUGGGUGUGACCAAGCAGGAUCUGGGCCCAGUCCCCAUGUGAGAGCAGCAGAGGCGGUCUUCAACAUCCUGCCAGCCCCACACAGCUACAGCUUUCUUGCUCCCUUCAGCCCCCAGCCCCUCCCCCAUCUCCCACCCUGUACCUCAUCCCAUGAGACCCUGGUGCCUGGCUCUUUCGUCACCCUUGGACAAGACAAACCAAGUCGGAACAGCAGAUAACAAUGCAGCAAGGCCCUGCUGCCCAAUCUCCAUCUGUCAACAGGGGCGUGAGGUCCCAGGAAGUGGCCAAAAGCUAGACAGAUCCCCGUUCCUGACAUCACAGCAGCCUCCAACACAAGGCUCCAAGACCUAGGCUCAUGGACGAGAUGGGAAGGCACAGGGAGAAGGGAUAACCCUACACCCAGACCCCAGGCUGGACAUGCUGACUGUCCUCUCCCCUCCAGCCUUUGGCCUUGGCUUUUCUAGCCUAUUUACCUGCAGGCUGAGCCACUCUCUUCCCUUUCCCCAGCAUCACUCCCCAAGGAAGAGCCAAUGUUUUCCACCCAUAAUCCUUUCUGCCGACCCCUAGUUCCCUCUGCUCAGCCAAGCUUGUUAUCAGCUUUCAGGGCCAUGGUUCACAUUAGAAUAAAAGGU
rnacentral:lncRNA from 1 species